GUUUGAUCCUGGCUCAGAUUGAACGCUGGCGGCAUGCUUUACACAUGCAAGUCGAACGGGGUUGGGAGCUUGCUUCCAAUCUAGUGGCGAACGGGUGAGUAAUACAUCGGAACGUACCGUGUAGUGGGGGAUAACGUAGCGAAAGUUACGCUAAUACCGCAUACGAUCCACGGAUGAAAGCAGGGGACCUUCGGGCCUUGUGCUAUACGAGCGGCCGAUGUCUGAUUAGCUAGUUGGUGAGGUAAAGGCUCACCAAGGCGACGAUCAGUAGCGGGUCUGAGAGGAUGAUCCGCCACACUGGGACUGAGACACGGCCCAGACUCCUACGGGAGGCAGCAGUGGGGAAUUUUGGACAAUGGGCGCAAGCCUGAUCCAGCCAUGCCGCGUGUCUGAAGAAGGCCUCGGGUU
rnacentral:rRNA from 1 species